GAUGAACGCUAGCGGCAGGCUUAACACAUGCAAGUCGAGGGGUAUUGGUUUUCGGACCAAGAGACCGGCGCACGGGUGCGUAACGCGUAUGCAAUCUACCUUUCACAGAGGGAUAGCUCAGAGAAAUUUGGAUUAAUACCUCAUAGCAUAGCAGCUUCGCAUGAAGCCACUAUUAAAGUCACAACGGUGAAAGAUGAGCAUGCGUCCCAUUAGCUAGUUGGUAAGGUAACGGCUUACCAAGGCUACGAUGGGUAGGGGUCCUGAGAGGGAGAUCCCCCACACUGGUACUGAGACACGGACCAGACUCCUACGGGAGGCAGCAGUGAGGAAUAUUGGACAAUGGGCGCAAGCCUGAUCCAGCCAUGCCGCGUGCAGGAUGACGGUCCUAUGGAUUGUAAACUGCUUUUGUACAGGAAGAAACAGUUCUACGUGU
rnacentral:rRNA from 1 species